GAUGAACGCUGGCGGCGUGCCUAAUACAUGCAAGUCGAGCGAACAGACGAGGAGCUUGCUCCUCUGACGUUAGCGGCGGACGGGUGAGUAACACGUGGAUAACCUACCUAUAAGACUGGGAUAACUUCGGGAAACCGGAGCUAAUACCGGAUAAUAUAUUGAACCGCAUGGUUCAAUAGUUAAAGACGGUUUUGCUGUCACUUAUAGAUGGAUCCGCGCCGCAUUAGCUAGUUGGUAAGGUAACGGCUUACCAAGGCAACGAUGCGUAGCCGACCUGAGAGGGUGAUCGGCCACACUGGAACUGAGACACGGUCCAGACUCCUACGGGAGGCAGCAGUAGGGAAUCUUCCGCAAUGGGCGAAAGCCUGACGGAGCAACGCCGCGUGAGUGAUGAAGGGCUUCGGAUCGUAAAACUCUGUUAUUAGGGAAGAACAAAUGUGUAAGUAACUAUGCACGUCUUGACGGUACCUAAUCAGAAAGCCACGGCUAACUACGUG
rnacentral:rRNA from 1 species